UUCCAUGGUANUGGCGAACGUACCUGGAAUUAGCCCAGCACCGAAUCCUGUAUCUUUGGUAUUAGGAAUUGUGGUGUAAAGGUUGUGUCUUUASUUGCUGAGAAUACUCCAAAUUCACUUGAUUGUGAUGUUGUCCAGAGAGGGUGUUAGACCCGUUGGGGUAUACAAAGUAAUUAUUGAUGCUUCCUAUGAGUCGGAUUGUUUGAGAAUGCAGUCCAAAUUUGGUGGUAAACUCCAUCUAAGGCUAAAUACUUGUGUGAGUCCGAUAGCAAACAAGUACCGUGAGGGAAAGUUGAAAAGAACUCUGAAGAGAGAGUUAAAUAGUACGUGAAAUCGCUUAGAGGUAAACGAGUGGAGCCGAAGGAGUUGUAUAGAAUUCAGUCGAUUAUGUUUUGUACGUAAAUUAACAACAUUUUUAUGGGAGUUGUUGGUAUACAUUUUACGGAAUGUGAUUGAUGCAUUUUCUAUAUAACUAAACUGCGACCAAUAGUGUUGAUUUUCUGUCGUAAUUGUGAAGGUGAUCAAUUUUUCGGAAUUGGUUUUAUAGCUAUUUACAUGGUUAAUACAAUGUAUUGUUAAACGCGGUUGGCUAAUUUUGAUAGUUUUUGAUUUGGAUUGCUUAUUUUUAGACUAUANAUAGACUAUUUUUAAGCAGUUUAAGUCUUUUAUUGUUGAAGGGUACAACYUAAAGU
rnacentral:rRNA from 1 species